AGUAGAAUUGCUGGGUUAUAUGAUAAAUUUACUUUCAUUUUUAAGAAACUGCCAAACUAUUUUCCAAAGUAGCUGCAUUAUUUUAUUCCCACCAGCAAU
rnacentral:pre_miRNA from 1 species